rnacentral:rRNA from 1 species
UACGUAGGGGGCUAGCGUUGUCCGGAAUCAUUGGGCGUAAAGAGCGCGUAGGCGGCCAGAUAAGUCCGGUGUGAAAGUCACAGGCUCAACCUGUGAAUGCCGCUGGAAACUGUCUGGCUAGAGUCCGGAAGGGGCGAGUGGAAUUCCUGGUGUAGCGGUGAAAUGCGCAGAUAUCAGGAGGAACACCGGUGGCGAAGGCGGCAUCCUGGACCGGUAUUGACGCUGAGGCGCGAAAGCCAGGGGAGCAAACGGG